rnacentral:rRNA from 1 species
GUGCCAGCAGCCGCGGUAAUACGUAGGGGGCGAGCGUUGUCCGGAUUUAUUGGGCGUAAAGAGCUCGUAGGCGGUUUGGUAAGUCGGAUGUGAAAUCUCCACGCUCAACGUGGAGGCGCCAUCCGGUACUGCCAUGACUAGAGUCCGGUAGGGGAGUGUGGAAUUCCCGGUGUAGCGGUGAAAUGCGCAGAGAUCGGGAGGAACACCCGUAGCGAAGGCGGCACUCUGGGCCGGUACUGACGCUGAGGAGCGAAAGCGUGGGGAGCGAACAGGAUUAGAUACCCUAGUAGUCC